CAGAGAAUCAUGGGAGUUGUAGUUCAGCAACAUCUGGGGGGCCGGAGUUUGAGAACCCGUGACUUAUUAAGUAAAACAUUUGCUGGUUCAGAAUUACCAUACUGUUCUCUGGUUGAUUGAUAUGUUGAGAUGGAGAACAUGUUGAAGCAAUUCUUCACUUAGAAAGGGUGCACAGAACUUGUUGAUUUGGAUACAAAAAAAAUCUUUUCAAGAUUACGUUCACUAAAUCCAGAAAAACAUGGCUCUCCUUUUUGGCAAUGUUGGCCUUUUAAUAAUUUUUAUUCAAUGACAGUGAACCUGUAUUAAAUCUACUUUUUUAAAUUUACUUUAUUUUGAAUAUAUGCUCACCACAUGUAGCCAUGGAUGAAAACAGAGAAGGACAAUGCUCAAAACAAGAAAAUAAUUGUAGGCAGUCCACCAGCAAGAUGGCUAGUUCCAUAGUGUCUUGUUAACGCCAGGAGCCUUGAGCAGAUAUACAGCUAAAAUUGUUUGGUUUUUUUUCCCAACAAUAUUAAAAUAUGUUAUGAUCACCACCUAUCUGAAGUUUAUGCAACAUUUUGUUACUAUACACAGGGGUCCUCAAACAUUUUAAACAGGGGGCCAGUUCACUGUCCCUCAGACUCUGCUGGGGACUGGACUAUAGUUUGAAACAAAUUUGAACUAAUUCCUAUACAUACUGAAACAGACACAUAGACAUAUGCAGACACACACAUCCAUAAGGACAGACAUAUACAUACUGACACACAUACAAACACACAGACAGGCACAUACAUACAUACAUACACAGACAUAUAUACAUACACAUACACACACAGACAUACAUACACAAACUGACAUACAUACAGAUACAUACAGACACACACAUACAAACACACAGACACAUACAUACACACACAUAAUGACAUCCACACAAACAGCCAAAUUAUCUUACUUUUUUUGCAGGAGGGUGGCUGUUGGGAGUCGGUGUGGCUCUCCCGUCCUCGUCUGUCUUUCUUUCUUCCCUCCCACGCGGAGGGAGCUGAGAGGAAGUGACCGGCCGACCAGCACUACUUUGCGACUGUUGCACGGCCGCAGCGCUGACCAGGCCGCUGAAGAUAUAGAGCCCAUCAGGUGGCCCUAAAUGCUUGGGAAGGUUUCAGGACCCUGGCGGGCCGGAGUUUGAG